UCUGAGCCCAUGGAGGUGCCUGGGAGCAAACGCACCAGUCUGCCUGGGAAGUGAGUCCAGGAGUUCAAGGGCGCCUGGGUGAAAAACGGAAGCUCUGAGAGGUAGAGCCGAUCAACGAAGAUGGCACCACUAGGAAGCAGGAUAUGACUGAAUCUGUGCCGACCCUGUGGCUCUCCCGCCCACCCUUUCCUUCUCUGUCUCCCCCCUCCGACCCCUCCUCAGACUCCUUCUUUACCUCUGUGGCCCACACAACCCAGCCCCGCUGUGAUGUGGAGUUGUCCUUCUCCUUGUGUCUCCCCUCUGAUAAGUCACCUCCUCCUGUCGGGCCUCCAGGCUUGGGGAUGCCACCAGCUUCCUGCUGUUGAUGCUCUCUGGGUUGCAGCCUCAUCCCCCACUGGGUUUCUCAGCUCUUCUAAUCCUUCCAACCAGCCCCUGUUUUAACGUCCCUCCCUGAGAAACCUAGUAUUUCAGUGUUCCUGCCAAAACCCCGAAGUCGCUGUCUAUUGUGGGAUUCCUUGGACCAGGAACCCUUCCCCAUGCCUUUCCUAUGUUAAUGUACCGGUUGGGAACCCUCACCCCACUUGACAGAGAGAGAAGCAGGGCAUCUGGAGAGGAGAAGCCAUUCACCUGCAGUCACACCGCUAGUGACGGGCCGGGCUGGGGUUCCCAGUCACGAGGUGGAAAUCCAGAGCCUGCGCCCCGCCACCUCGCCUGCCGCUGGCUGUCCUAACAGCCAGGUGACUAUCUAGGCACCAGAGCCCUGCUCCGAUGGUGACCUCGCUCUGGAACUUCUCCGUCUGGCCGCUCUGCCCCAUGAUGGACCUCAGAGACCCGACUGUGCCCGGCAUCCCUGCAAGUUCUGUCCAGCUGAAGACCCCAGUGUCUGCCGAGGGGCCAGCAUGUUCUGUGGUCUCCCAGAUGCGGGAGUCUCUUUCUGCCAGCCUCUCCCCGCCCCCACCCCCCGCCGCUGCUGUCUUGCCACUCUAUGCCAGGACCCUCGAUGACUCACCACCCAGAGCUUUCACUUCCUUCUUCUUGCAAAGGCUCCUGACCUCUUGCAGCUGCAGAGAGGCCGGGGGCUUGAGGCAGGAGGAGCAGCCAUGGGCCCUGCUGAGGGCUCCUUGCCUGACACCGGCCUGGGCCCGACUCUCUCCAAAUGGCCAGUCAUCUAUACAGGCUGGCAUACCGGGAGAUCGGCCUAGAACGUUUAAGCUGGAAUGGAGGCUUUCAUACUUACUGAUGGCAUCGGAGGGACCCAGCUUCUUUCUGUCCUUCCUGCCUUCAUGCAUGGAUGCGUUUAUGCUUUCCUCCCUUCGUUCCCUCAUUUAACAAAUCUGGCCUGGCCUCCGAUGUACCAAGUAGUUCCCAGUGGACCAAGGAACCAGGUUCAUUCUCGGCCCAUGAGGAGCUCCCAUGAGGAGCCCCCUUUCUGCAGACAGAAAACCCAAGCAGGAUUAAAGAAAACCCAACACAGUAGGGAAGCCGUGGAGAUUCUUCUGAGAUCUCUUCGCACAGCUUACCGGUGUGUGUACACAGAAAUGCUUCCUCAUCACCACCUGGGGUUCCCUCUCCCUUUACAGCACUCUAUGGCUCCCAGGGGCUCCAGGGAGCGGGCAAGGGGCCAGGCUAAAAAUAAAGCUUCACUGAGCCUCCUAGGUACAGGUGUGUUGUAUAACCUCCUAGACUAAGAGGCGGCACCUGGUUAAAUGAUUCUGAUGUGGAGUCAGACCUGGGUUACCCACUAGUCAUUUUCUGACCAUGGGACCUUAAGGAAGUUGAUCAUCUCUGAGCCUUGGUUUGCUCUUCUAUAAAAUGAAGCUGUU